rnacentral:rRNA from 1 species
AGAGUUUGAUCCUGGCUCAGAACGAACGCUGGCGGCGUGGAUUAGGCAUGCAAGUCGAACGCGAAAGAGGGAGCAAUCCCUCGAGUAGAGUGGCGAACGGGUGAGUAACGCGUGAAGAACCUGCCUUCAACAGGGGGAUAACACUCCCAACGGGGUGCUAAUACCGCAUGAGACCACGGGUCUGCAUGGACCUGAGGUCAAAGGUGGCCUCUGCUUGCAAGCUACCGGUUGAAGAUGGCUUCGCGUCCCAUUAGCUAGUUGGCGGUGUAAAGGACCACCAAGGCGACGAUGGGUAGCUGGUCUGAGAGGAUGGUCAGCCACACUGGGACUGAGAUACGGCCCAGACUCCUACGGGAGGCAGCAGUCGAGAGGCUUCGGCAAUGGGGGAAACCCUGACCGAGCGACGCCGCGUGGAGGAUGAAGGCCCCUGGGUUGUAAACUCCUUUUGCUGGGGAAGAAACACGAUCAGGUGAACAAUCUGGUCGCUUGACGGUACCCGGCGAAUAAGCUCCGGCUAACUCCGUGCCAGCAGCCGCGGUAAU